rnacentral:tRNA from 1 species
GUUUUCGUAGUGUAGUGGUUAUCACGUGCGCCUUACACGCGCAAGGUCGCGGCCGAAAACA